UACAGAGGUCCCGAGCGUUGUUCGGAUUCACUGGGCGUAAAGGGUGCGUAGGUGGUGAGGUAAGUCGGAUGUGAAAUCUCCGAGCUCAACUCGGAAAUGGCAUUGGAAACUACCUUGCUAGAGGAUCGGAGGGGGGACUGGAAUACUUGGUGUAGCAGUGAAAUGCGUAGAUAUCAGGAGGAACACCGAUGGCGAAGGCAGGUCUCUGGGCCGAUACUGACGCUGAGGAGCGAAAGCGUGGGGAGCGAACAGG
rnacentral:rRNA from 1 species